GCUCGCAGGCCGUGGCCCUGGCCCAGGACACCAGCUGGCUUUCGUAAGCGCCGCGGAGCCAGGAGCAGGCAGUUACACAAGCGUCUCCCGGCCGUGCCUGCGGUGUCACGGCAGGACAGAGCCCGGCAGGGCUCACGCACACCGGCCCCGCCGCGGGACGCUGCGGCUCGGGGGGGAUUACAGCUCAGCAAACCAGACACGGAUUUCAGCUUGGACACGGCUCUCCCCAGCUGAAGUAACUUCACAGUUCAUUUCGCAGUAAUCGGAGCACGGUGCACCCUCAGCAGCCUGCCAAGGCCAGCGGGACUGCGAGGAUGGGAACUGGGGACAGAAAGGUUCCCGGUGCUUGGACAGCGCAGGCGGCCAGAGGGCCGUGACUCAGCACAAAGAGCCAGCCAGGUCCUCAGCAGUGCUGAGCUCGGGAUAAACAAACUCACCCUUUCACCCUGACCUCUUUAGCAAAUGAAGAGACCCAAAAAAUCGAGGCCAAGGCACUUAAACCAUCUUUCAUCGGUCCCUCUUGACCCCACCCCAUCUGAAAAAACAUUAUCCCUGUCUCUUUUCAGCUGUGCGGAAGCCACACAAAGCCCAACACCUAAACCAGAAGAUACAAGACCCAGUACCCCUAAGGACAGAUAUAUUUUUAAUUAAUCUUUAUUCCAUUUCUAAAUUACCAGCUGCAAGAGGCUUUCAGAUCGUUUAAAGCCCGUGUCUCUAAGAGGCAGAGCUGACUCAUCAGGGAGGCACAGGAUGCGUUCACUUACAGGACCUUGUGGGAAUUAUCAGGCUCCUGGGCUCACAUCACUUAAAGCCAAGAUUCCCUUGGACCUGGUGUCGUGGCAGGGCAGUUCCCGGCACUAGCUUCCCCCUCCACUGACAAUUCUCAGAGAUGCCAGGAGGGACUUUAUUCCUGGAGGAGAGCAGCCACCAGAGUUCUGCCAGCUCUGCAAAGGGACGGUGAACAUCCCUGUGGGUGGAAGAGGCUCCAUUCCAGACAGCCUGGGACAGCAGACCGAGCCUGAACUGCUCCCGUCCAGCAGGCAGAGGCUGCUCUGGCACCUGCACGUCACCUGUCCCGGAGUGCUCCGUCCUUCCCACAGGACGGCACUCACCGGGCAGCAGAGAGGGCUGCGGGCACCAGCGCAGCGUUUAUCCUGCAGUUUGUCAGGGCAGGAGUUCAGCCGGCUCUGAGGCAGGGAUUGCAUCAUGCAGCUCCACAGCAGGUCCUGCAGUGAUGUUGUCACACAAACGAGUCACCGGGAACUCUGGCCUGCGGGACUUUGCUGAGGGACGCAGCACCGGAGCUGACAUCCCAUCCCAGCCCUGCGGCCCCAGCUCUGCUGCCCGCGGGGCUGCGGGGCCAGGGCACAGCCCGCGGGGCCGGGGGUCCGUGAGUUUCGGAGGGGCUUCGGGAGCCAUCUGCUGUCAUCAGCCCACAUUACAGCGAGGGGCUGAGGGCCACCAGAAGGGCUCUGCUCCCUCCCGCCCGCGCACGGACGAGUUUGAACCACUUUCCCAGAAUCACCGAAGUCGUAAAAGACCUCCAAGAUCAUCGAGUCCAACCUGUGACCGAUCCCCACCUUGUCAACCAGGCCAGAGCACUGAGUGCCACGUUGAGUCAUUCCCUGGACACCUCCAGGGAUGGAGACUCCACCACCUCCCUGGGCAGCCCCUUCAAUGUCUAAUCAUCCUUUCAGUGAAGAAACUCCUCCCGAGAAAAUCCCCAAAUUUAACUACAAGCAGAAAUAAGAGCCCCUCAGGGACAUCACCACCUCAUCCAGAGGGACUCGGAGCUCUCCAUAGGAAACACAGUGCUUCCAGCACAUGGGAGGGCUCCACUUGAGGGUCUGCAGUGAGCACAGUGGGAUUCCAGCCCCCCAGACGCACCGGGUGCUGGCAUUAAUCCAGCUCUCACAGGCCCAGGUGGAAGUGGCUGGGCACUCGCCCCCUGCUCGGAGGGCCCGGCGGAGCUGCAGGGAGCGUGGCAGGGGACGGGGACAUGCCGGGUGUCAUAGUGCUUUGGGACUGAGAGGCUUUGUUGCUCGGCAGGCAGCAGAGUGGCACUGGGCCUGGCACGGCAGCGUGCCCGUGUCCCAGCCUGCCGCUGGCCCUGGCGUGACGAGCGUGCGAGCCACGCCAGAGCGUGCAGCCCCGGAGGGCUCAGGGUGAGCGUGAGAGCCCCAGGGCUUCAGCACGGUGAGCGUGCAAGGCACAGCCUUUGCCAGCGUGGAGGGUGAGUGUGCAAGGUGAGCCCCUUUGCCAGCACGGUGACUGGGCAAGGUGGGCCCCUCUGUCAGCACCCUCUGUGAGCGUGCAGGGCACGUACAAGGUGUGUACCAGGUGUGAACGGGGUGUUUGUGCUCCAAGUGUCUGUGUGCAAUGCAGCUGUGUACCAGGUGUGUCUGUGUUCCAGGUGUGUCUGUGUCCCAGGUGUGUGUCUGUAUUCCAGGUGUUUCUCUAUCCCAGGUGUUUCUCAGUUCCAGGUGUUUCUGUUCCAGGUGUUUCUGUUCCAGGUGUUUCUCAGUUCCAGGUGUUUAUCCCAGGUGUUUCUGUCCCAGGGGUUUCUCUGUCCCAGGUGUUUCUCGUCCAGGUGUGUCUGUACUCUAGGUGUUUCUCUAUCCCAGGUGUUUCUCCAUUCCAGGUGUUUCUGUUUUCCAGGUGUUUCUGUCCCAGGUGUUUCUGUCCCAGGUGUUUCUGUUCCAGAUGUUUCUUUACUCCAGGUGUUUCUAUUCCAGGUGUUUCUCUAUUUCAGGUGUUUCUCUGUUCCAGGUGUUUCUGUCCCAGGUGUUUCUCUGUUCCAGGUGUUUCUGUUUUCCAGGUGUUUCUCUGUUCCAGGUGUUUCUGUCCCAGCUGUUUCUGUUCCAGGUGUUUCUGUUCCAG